rnacentral:lncRNA from 1 species
UCUCUCUCUCUCAGUUUGAGCUUUGUUUCUGACUAUAUUUUCUCCCCACAGCUUUUGUUUUUGCAAGUUCUGUAGAUAUCUGAUAUCAAGAUGCUAUAGGCCUGUCGUGUGUUUGGAAAUGAGAGGCUUGGGGCUGGUGAGAUAGAGACCUCCGUGGACCUGGGUGGCCCCUGGUGAUUUAUGCAGCCUGAGUACCUAGACUGGACUAGGGCAUAAGGCUCCAGGAGCAGGAGAACUGAUCCAUGGAAGGGCCAAUUUAACUCCUGAAUGAGCUGCCUAUGAAAGGCGAAAUGGACACGCCCUGCACUGCUUACAGACAGUUCCCAUAGCUGUCCAGGGCCCUGGAGUGUGCACCCAAGGGCAGAUUCUGCCCUUACUCACGCUCUGCUAUGGUGUCUUGGGAGUUGUGCAGUGACUCUGGCACAGGAAAGGGAUGAAAAGCAAGGCAGUAGUAGCUGACUAGCUUUGCUGUGCAGACUUUGUAAUGCACUUCUCUUUGUAAUGCUUCAGUGAUUGUAGGUCCAAGACUGCAACCUCCAAAGAGAGAGCAGUAGGUGCUGAGCAUGUAUCAACAAUAACCUUGGCAACCACAACCCUUUGGGUGAAACCAGCCACCUGCAUUCUGGAUCCUAGAGCUAGUGUACUGACAAUUUUUCUAUCUUCCCAGGCAAUUUGCCUUUUUAGGGGAAGUUAUGUUUGAGCGAAGGGGCCUGGCAGUUCAGACUGGCUUAAUAGUCUUAGCAACAACACAGAGUUGUCUGGUCUUUCCUUUCCUAUCUCAGAUGGGGGAGAGUGAUUCCAGUUUCCAGGAAACGAACUUGACGGCUGAGGAGUCCCUUAGCGAUGCCCAUUAAGCAUCAGUAUCACUUCUUCGCAUCACUCCCACAAAUCUCUUCCUAGGUCUCAGCCUCUCCUAUGAUGCCUUCUAAAUUAAUGACAGAAAGCACCAGCUUUGGUUCAUGACAAUCUCCAUAUAAACUCCCUAGGAAAACAGAGAGUAGACCCCCAAGGACCUGCUCCAGCAUCUACUGUGGCUUUGGAAGUGGCAGGGUCAGGAUUUGGGUUGUUCCAUGGUACUCCCACAGACAUAUUUGAGGACAGCAGCAUGCUGAGGGGAAAGUGAGGUUUGUUUCCCUUCCUCUGAUAUCUGGAAUAAGUACAUGUGAUUGGAAUUUUCAAGAAAAGUCCUCAAGCUCCAGAUAUUCUACUAAGCACAACUAAGGACACCUCUGUAUAACCUCCUCUUUGACAAACUCCUUGGUCUUGCAUCAUAAAAGCCGAACCAUAGGGCAGAGGAACUGCGUAGUGUAGAAGUGGCCAGAGCCACUGGCUGAGCUACUCAGCUGAUCAUAUCUUUCUUCCUUUAUGGUGACCCAUUUCCUGGUUGCUGAGAUGGCUGCUUAGCUGGCUUGGUGCCCAGAGGCCUGAAACAAGGGACAGGUGACACUGUUUCCUAAGAGUUCCCUUUCUGUCAUUCUUUUACUUGUACCCUAACCUUUGUAUCCCUAAAGCUAGAACCAGAGACUUAUCGUUACCAGGUUCUGAUCUGUGGUUCUAUUUAACUCUUCCAGCUGUGUACUCAGCCCUGCACGCACAGAAUUUAGUGACUUUGGUAUUGAGUGCAAAGUUGGGCCAUGGGACACUGUGAUGAAGUUGACAUCUUUAGUCCUCAAAGAACAUGCACAAUUGAAAGAGGUCUCACCCCUGUGAUGUAUCUGCUAAGGGUCCCAUAGUGGCAGUUAAGAAGGGGAACCAAGAAGGAACAGACUUUGGCAGGGAGUGCUUAAUGUGUAAAUUCCAUCCUGAGACAGAGGGCAAUGGAGAGAGUUUCUGUCCCUGCCAGUCAUGAUGAGCCCCAGGACUUGGACAAUGGUCUCUGUCUUCUUAUUGUACUUGACUUCACAGUCCCUGUCUGAAUUUGCAGUAUGUCUGUCAAAGGACCCAGGUUAUCAUUUACCCUUCAUGCCAAGGUCAAAGAUCUUGGAACUCCUGCGAGAGCAUUUUGCUCCUACAAAUGAUCAGAUACGGAAGCCCCAAGUAAUAGAUCUUGUUCCGCUGGCUCCCGGAGAGAGUGCUCUGUUCCUGCCUUUCACCGUGCAGCCUGUGCAACAAUGGCACACAGUACCAAGAGGAAGUAUAUCAUUUGCCACCCCACCCUGAUAUGUUUCUUCUCCUAAAAAAAAAAAAUCACACUUGCUCUCGUCAUCCUCACUUGUGUUUGCUUUUCAUUUGCCUUAUUUCCCUUCUAUGCAGCGCUCAGCUCAGUUCCUUGUAGUCCCCCAAGCAGUUGGUAAAGAGUUUGUUUAGAAUCCUGAAUGAACAACACCCUCACUGCACUUGUGCCUGCCGGAUCUCCCAGGGUGUUCAGCUAAUGAUCAGUGUCAUCCCAAAAAGCUGAAACAGGGUGACAGCAGCUCUGCCCAACAAAGGGAGUUGAACAGGCUGAGGCCUUGACUUGACUGUGGCUGUGGGGAGAGGUAAGUUGGUUUCUAGAGCUUCCAUAGUGGGACACCCAGACACUUCUGAGUUUCUUCUACCUCACAGAGAUGGUGUGAGGCUAUAGAAGGCCUCAGGAUGCGGCCCCUUGGUUCUUCAUGAGAAAGAUGAACUAAAAUAAUAUUCCCAGCCUGCAAGAAGAUAAAAUACAGGUAGAGCUGUUUUGUGCAGCAGUUAACCUACUUGCUCUCUGCCUUUUUCUUGGAUCCUCAUGCCUCUCACUAGUUCCAGAAACCAGAAGGCAACCUGGGGAUAUUGAGAUGACAAUGUAGAGGUACCAGGCAAACCCCUGCUAUACAUUCUCUGAACAAAUCACUGAAUUUCCAAGGAAAUAGAUCCCCCUUUAAAGGAUGUACAAAAGUGUGUCUGCAUUGAUGUCUGUACUGUAAAUUUCUAAUUUAUCACUGUAUUAAAAAAAACUUGCUAUUUAAUUUUUGUAUUAAAGGAAAAUAAAGUUUUGUU